UUUGUUGCUUUUCUUUGCUUUUGAUUUUAUUUUAUUUUUGUUGUUGUCAGAGUACGGUGACCCCAAUCGCUUGCUAAGAAAUCUGGAAACCGAAAUAAUGCUUCCCUGCGAGAUUAGAAGCACAAAAAAAAAAAAUAACGGAAGCUCA
rnacentral:ribozyme from 1 species